rnacentral:rRNA from 1 species
UCAUNCAAUAAGCGGAGGAAAAGAAACUAACAAGGAUUCCCCUAGUAACGGCGAGUGAAGCGGGAAGAGCUCAAAUUUGAAAUCUGGCAGUCUUCGAUUGUCCGAGUUGUAAUCUAUAGAGGCGUUUUCCGUGCCGGACCGUGUCCAAGUCUCCUGGAAAGGAGUAUCAAAGAGGGUGAUAAUCCCGUACUUAACACGACCACCGGUGCUCUGUGAUACGUCUUCUACGAGUCGAGUUGUUUGGGAAUGCAGCUCAAAAUGGGUGGUGAAUUCCAUCUAAAGCUAAAUAUUGGCGAGAGACCGAUAGCGAACAAGUACCGUGAGGGAAAGAUGAAAAGCACUUUGGAAAGAGAGUUAAACAGUACGUGAAAUUGUUGAAAGGGAAACGAUUGAAGUCAGUCGUGUUCUUUGGAUUCAGCCAGUUCUGCUGGUCUACUUCCUUGGAACGGGUCAACAUCAGUUUUGUCCGGUGGAUAAAGGUAGUAGGAAUGUGACUUCUCCGGAAGUGUUAUAGCCUAUUAUCACAUACACUGGGUGAGACUGAGGACUGCAGCUCGCCUUUAUGGCCGGCCUUCGGGCACGUUCGAGCUUAGGAUGUUGACAUAAUGCAU